rnacentral:rRNA from 1 species
UACGUAGGGACCAAGCGUUGUUCGGAAUUACUGGGCGUAAAGGGCGCGUAGGCGGCCUUCUAAGUCGAACGUGAAAUCCCCGGGCUCAACCCGGGAACUGCGUCCGAUACUGGAAGGCUUGAAUCCGGGAGAGGGAUGCGGAAUUCCAGGUGUAGCGGUGAAAUGCGUAGAUAUCGGAAGGAACACCUGUGGCGAAAGCGGCUCACUGGACCAUAACUGACGCUGAGGCACGAAAGCUAGGGGAGCAAACAGG